GACGGAGGGUGCUAGCGUUGUUCGGAAUCACUGGGCGUAAAGGGCGCGUAGGCGGCCUUGGCAGUCAGAUGUGAAAGCCCGGGGCUUAACCCCGGAAUUGCAUUUGAUACUGCAAGGCUGGAGGUCGGAAGAGGAGGGUGGAAUACCCAGUGUAGAGGUGAAAUUCGUAGAGAUUGGGUGGAACACCGGUGGCGAAAGCGGCUCUCUGGUCCGAUCCUGACGCUGAGGCGCGAAAGCGUGGGGAGCAAACGGG
rnacentral:rRNA from 1 species